GACAGAGGCCCCGAGCGUUAGGCGGAAUCACUGGGCUUAAAGCGUGUGUAGGCGGACCCCUAAGUGUCUUGUGAAAUCCCACGGCUCACCCGUGGAACUGCUGGGCAUACUGGGGGUCUUGGGCCGUUCAGGGGCGACUGGAACAAGCGGUGGAGCGGUGAAAUGCGUAGAUAUCAUUUGGAACGCCAAUGGUGAAAACAGGUAGCUGGGAGUGUGCUGACGCUGAGACACGAAAGCCAGGGGAGCGAACGGG
rnacentral:rRNA from 1 species